rnacentral:rRNA from 1 species
UACGGAGGAUGCGAGCGUUAUCCGGAUUUAUUGGGUUUAAAGGGUGCGUAGGCGGGCUUUUAAGUCAGCGGUAAAAAUUCGGGGCUCAACCCCGUCCGGCCGUUGAAACUGGGGGCCUUGAGUGGGCGAGAAGAAGGCGGAAUGCGUGGUGUAGCGGUGAAAUGCAUAGAUAUCACGCAGAACCCCGAUUGCGAAGGCAGCCUUCCGGCGCCCUACUGACGCUGGGGCACGAAAGUGCGGGGAUCGAACAGG